rnacentral:rRNA from 1 species
AUUGAACGCUGGCGGCAUGCCUUACACAUGCAAGUCGAACGGCAGCACGGGUGCUUGCACCUGGCGGCGAGUGGCGAACGGGUGAGUAAAGUAUCGGAACGGGCCCGUAAGUUGGGGAUAACUACCCGAAAGGGUGGCUAAUACCGCAUAUGCUGUGAGCAGGAAAGCGGGGGAUGGCACGACCUUGCGCUGAAGGAGCGGCCGAUAUCAGAUUAGCUAGUUGGUGGGGUAAAGGCCUACCAAGGCGACGAUCUGUAGCGGGUCUGAGAGGAUGAUCCGCCACAAUGGGACUGAGACACGGCCCAGACUCCUACGGGAGGCAGCAGUGGGGAAUUUUGGACAAUGGGGGCAACCCUGAUCCAGCCAUGCCGCGUGAGUGAAGAAGGCCUUCGGGUUGUAAAGCUCUUUCGGCCGGGAAGAAAUCGCAUGGGUUAACACCCUGUGUGGAUGACGGUACCGGAAUAAGAAGCACCGGCUAACUACGUGCCAGCCGCCGCUGUAA